rnacentral:rRNA from 1 species
UACGGAGGGUGCGAGCGUUGUCCGGAAUCAUUGGGCGUAAAGGGCGCGUAGGCGGCCUGGCAAGUGGAAGGUGAAAUCCCUCGGCUUAACCGAGGAACUGCCCUCCAAACUGCUUGGCUUGAGUCCGGGAGAGGUGAGUGGAAUUCCCAGUGUAGCGGUGAAAUGCGUAGAUAUUGGGAGGAACACCAGUGGCGAAGGCGGCUCACUGGACCGGAACUGACGCUGAGGCGCGAAAGCGUGGGGAGCAAACAGG